rnacentral:rRNA from 1 species
UACGAAGGGGCUAGCGUUGCUCGGAAUCACUGGGCGUAAAGCGCACGUAGGCGGAUUGUUAAGUCAGGGGUGAAAUCCUGGAGCUCAACUCCAGAACUGCCUUUGAUACUGAAGAUCUUGAGUUCGGGAGAGGUGAGUGGAACUGCGAGUGUAGAGGUGAAAUUCGUAGAUAUUCGCAAGAACACCAGUGGCGAAGGCGGCUCACUGGCCCGGUACUGACGCUGAGGUGCGAAAGCGUGGGGAGCAAACAGG